CCCUGGUUAGCUCAGUUGGUAGAGCGCUCCACCUGUAAUGGAGAGGUCCCGGGUUCGAAACCCGGACCAGGCG
rnacentral:tRNA from 1 species